AACACGCCCGAUCUCAUCUGAUCUUGGAAGAGAAA
rnacentral:rRNA from 1 species